AUGAAGAUCCUUCUGGAAUUUCAGAUAGAACAACCAUUAUGAGUUGUGUGUUGAUGACUCGUCACCCUUCCCACCUUUUUGAGUAUUUAUUUAAAGGUUCUUCUUAAAUGCAGGUGUACCUAAGUAAGCUCUGAAACUCCACAGGUUAUCAAUAAUGUAAGUUGGUUUCACCAGUUUUCCUCACUUGUGCUUCAAUGUCAGGAUCCAGUACAUAAUGCCUCUACAAAAGAAUCCAAAUUAUUAGUAUUUACAAUAUGCAACGUAAAUCUCAUCAAACAAAUUAAACCUCAAUAAUAAUAUUAAUAAUAACUUUGAAUUCCUAAAAAAUAAAACUUUUAAGUAAUUAAAAUACAAUACAUAUGCAUCUCUGAACUUUGCCAUGUGAACUAACAUGCCUAGAAAAAUGUUUAAAUUUCAUUAUAUGAACUCUAAUUGUGUUAAUUUGGAAAUAUUUACCCCCAGACUUUGAGUUUAGAGUUGAUAUUGGAGCUAUACAUUGCAUAAUAUGUAUAUGUGUGUUUUAACCCUCGAUUUAAUUUUCAAGCUCAAAGGUGAUUCAUAGCUUAAUUGGUGAUAACCUUGGUUGAGAGACUGCUCUUAUUUCAAACAGAAAAAGGUAUAUACAGGGUAACAAUUACAUUGCCAUGGGAAUUAUUUAGAAAACAGUUACUCCACUAAUUGAACUGGUUAACCUAUUUUUCCAGCUAAUUAAGUUCAGGUGCAAAAAAAAUAUCGAAGCAAUUUAUUCAUUUAAUCUUUAAAGUCAACAUUUUGAUUUUAAAAACCAACAAAUCAACACCAAAUACCAUUCUGGGUAUAACUACAAAAUCCACGAUUGCCUUCCAUGAAAGGAAUUGCAUAAGAUAUAGGCAUUUUCAGGCGUUCGCUAGAUAUCAACAAUGAGUAAUUUGAAGAUCCAAGCAGGAAAAAAGAAGCUUCUUGACAUACAGAUCCUCAAAAUUCCUUGAAAAUAUAAAAGAAUUGAGGAAGCAAUUUUGGAGGGCUGAAAAAUUUCCCAAUUGCACGAAUUUCAGUUCAUGAUUCUGGAACAGUGGACUUUACUCUAAAAGGAGUGUAUGCUAUCCUAAUUGAUAUAUGAUAUUAAACAAAAGUAAGUAAAAUAGAGAAAAAAAAAAAAAAAAAAAAAAAAAAAAAAAAAAAAAACCAAAAACAAUUUGUGGAAAAAAANACAUGUUGGCGAAAUAAACAAUUGAUUAUGACUUUGACUUAUGAUUAGUAAGAAAACUUGUCAAACAAUAUCUGAAACUAACUUGUAAGAAUGUGGGUUCAUAGUUAACCUGCGAGAUCUGAAGCAGGGAUGAUAGAGGCUGAGAAAGACGACUGAAAACGGUAAGUCGGCAGGUAAACUGCGAGUCAAGGAGGAAGGGAGAGUCAACGAGGAUGAUGGGUUUUUCUUUUGCCUUACUAUCGACGAGAGGUUCACAGGUGUUGCUUUUCUUUUCAUUCUUUGUAAGUAUUAUUAAUAUUUAUAAGGAGAAGGUAAAUUCCAAGAAAGUUCAGAUAUUUAUUACGCAAAUUCCACGAAAGUACAAAUUCCAAAGUAAAUUCCAAGAAAGUGCAGAUAUUUAAGACUCUAGCGUGUAGUGGGUGUUUUGUGGUCGGUAUUUCGACAUGGCUUCUAUUUCUUCCAUGUUAUUUUAUUUAUUUAUUUAUUUUUUAAGGCAUGUUUGUGCUGGUUGUGUUUGCUGUUUUAGUUGGAGGAGGAUAUCUUUGGGCUGGGUUUUGCUUGAGAAAAAUAUAUAUUGGGCUGAAAUAAAUAACAACCUACCAUUAUAAUAUAUGUUUGACAUUUCUUUUACAGUUCACUGGAAUAUAAUCAUAUAGACAUAUAUACAAUUAUACAUAUAAAGAGUUCGAUACCUAAAUAUAUUAUUAUUAUAUCUUAGAUGGAAUUUUGAGUAAGAGUAAACAUGUAUAUACAUUUUUAAAUAGAACGACCUACGGAUUGAAAGCUUUUAUGUUAUCGGGAUGUCAACCAUAACAAUUGUUUCCAUCAAACGUCAACCCCUUGCCACAACAAUUUCAAUUCCAAACCCUUUAAUUUUCUAAUGUAAUUUGAAUUUCAUGAUAAUGUUUUUUAGGUUUUCUAAAAUGUAAAUUUCAAUCUUUAUGUUUGAUGAAAAUUUUGUUUUAUUUUAAUUAAUAUCAAUUGUUUUUAUUAAAUGCUUAAAUUAUUUUUUAUUUUAAAAAAACAAAGUUCAUAGCAAAAAAAAAAUCACCACAACCCAUUCAUAGGCAAAUACUAGCAAGUAAGAUAAAUGCUUAUGUGGGACCAAAACAUCUCCAUACUCAUUAGCCUAAUUAGAGGUAACUAGGGUGAUGUUACAUUCUCUUUGCGGAAUCGUAAUCUCUAAAUUUUCUAUUAGGCACGUACCAUAUUUGUAAUAUUUUUAACAUAUGGAUUGUUUCAAUAAAAAAAAUUAUACGCACAAUGACCUUUUCUCUGUAAACUAUAAGAGACAAUUUUUGUAAUUUAUUUUCUAUACCGGGACCAAACCAACCAAUAUAUGAAAGUCUUGAACACAUGGAUUUUUUUUUUUUGUAAAUUACAUGGAUAGUUUUUUGUAACAUAUUUUCUACACACAUAAAAAAAUGCCAAUAUAGGAGAGUUAACUGGAUAUAUGUGCCCAAAUUAGACAUAUGUCCUUGCUUAGAAAAAACUCCCAACUAUACCCAAUGACCGGACCAUAAGAGAUUACAAGAACAUACUUACUGACCGAAUGCAAAACUUAUAGGGGCCCUGUAACAAAUGGACAACAAAGAUGAUCUAGUUAUUGAUACGAGUCUGAUCACAAGAAUGCAAAACUUAUAGGGGCCCUGUAACAAAUGGACAACAAAGAUGAUCUAGUUAUUGAUACGAGUCUGAUCACAAGAAUGCAAAACUUAUAGGGCCAGGGCAAUUGAAACCUCAAUAACAGUAAUACCUUUUAAAAUAUAAAAAAUAAAACUUUUAAGUGAUUAAAAUACAAUACAUAGGCACCUCUAAACUUUGCCAUGUGAACUAAGACACCUCAAAAAACGUUUAAAAUUCAAUAUAUAAACUCUAAUUGUGUUAAGAUGCCAAUAUUAUCCCCAAACUUCGAGAUUCGAGUUGAUUUUGAGGCUAUAUAAUGCAUAACGUGCAUAUGUGUGUGUUUGAACCUUGCUUUUAGUUUUUGUGUUCAAAUGCCAUUUUAAACUUGGUGUUCUAUUUACAAGGGACGUAUGGGAAUUAAGUUUGACACUUAAUUCAAAGGUAAAUGCACUCUAGAAGAAACUUAAUUCAAACUAUAUACUAGAAGAAACUUGGGUUCAACUUCAAAGUUCAAACUAUAUACUAGAGGAAACUUAAUUCAAAGGUAAAUGCACUCUAUACACAAGCUUAUAGAUAUCAUUAAGUUUGACUUCAAUGGUAAGUUAAACACCCAUUAUGAAAAUCGAAUAAUGAAGUUUGGUUAUUAAUCAUUAUGAUUGUUUAGAUUACCAUUAAGAAGCAGAUAAAAAUAAUAACGAAUAAACAAAUGAUUAUGAUGAUAUUUAUGAUUAAUAAGAUGAAAUUGUCAAACAAUAUUUGAAGCUAAGUUGCCUGCCUACAAAGACAAGGAGACCUGAAAAGUGACGAAGCUGAGAAAGAUAACGACUGAAAUCUAUAGAACGAAUGGCGGUAAGUCGGCAGGGGAACGGUAAGUCAACGAGGAAGGAAGGGCGUUAGCCAGAGAGGAGAGUUAACGAGGAUGUUCAAAGUAAACGUAUUUGCGCAAGGUAAAUUUCAAGAAAGUAUCGAUAUUUAUAUGACAAAUUCCAAGAAAAAUACUCAUAUUUAUCACGGCAACUUGUAAGAAAGUUCAAAUUUUUAAAUAGGGUUAAUAUUAAAGGGUUUAAAUUGUUAAAAAAAAAAAAUCAAAUAUUACUAUAGCCGAGGCACUUUUAGGAAAUCAUCUAAUUUUGCACAAAUAGUCCCUGUUUUAUUGUAAAUUUGCAAAUAAUCGUUUUUAUAUUUUAAGAAAUUUCAUAAAAGUUCCAUGUAUAAUUGGGAAUUUACAUAAUCUGACUGAACUUUCAACUUUGUUUUUCAAGUUUGGUCUUAAUAUAGUUUAAAAUAUUUUAACUUUUUUUUUUCAAGUUUCUUUGAAUAUUUUUAUUAAUGUGUUUUUUUAGAAAUAUAAUUCUUUUAUAAAUUUUCUUCUCCCUUCCUAUUCUCAUGGCUUCCUCCAAUCUUGGUAAUCUCUUUGCCAAAACCAUGAAUCGUUUAAUUUUUUUUAAAGAUUGUUUUAAAAUAUUUUUCAAAACAGUUUUUAUACUUUAUGUAGUUUUCAUUCAAGUUUUUUAAAACUAAAAUUUGUUUAAAUAUUAUAAGUUUAAAACAUUUGGAAAUACUUUCAUCUAAAAAAAGCCUAAAACAUUUCGGUGUUACAAGUAGAAAACAUUUACAAAUAUUUUUGUUUAUUUUUUUAAAAAAAUUUAGAAAUGCUUUUGUUUAUAAAGUUCUAUAGGUAACUGUAAAAAAGUUUAAAUAAGUUGUAAAACAAGUUUAUAAUGUUGUAGUAAAAAACUACAAAAAAAACAUUUAUAACUUUAAUCUAAAAAAAUAUAUAAUGGUUAUAAAACAAUUUAUAAAAAGUUGUGAAUGGUGUUGGAGGUUUUUGAAAGAGUGCAACUCUAUUUAGGUAAUGCUUACUAAGGCUUUGUAUGGGAGACAGAGUUAGUUUGGUGUGGGCCAACAAGUCUCGUUAACUCACAUUAUCAACUAACAAGUCAAGUUUCUAAUCCGUAUAAUAAUAUGUUUAAGCAUUUGACUUAAUUUAUAUUUAUUAUUAUUAAACCCCAAAUUCAUGAAAUAUAAUAUAACUAAAAAUGGAAAAGAGGGCGUUACAGAAUUCAAUGAAAAAUUCUGAAAUUUCAAGAAAAAACCGUUUUAUACUUAAUUUUAUAUAAAUAAAAAAAAAAAGUUAAACAAACAUAGUAAAUAUGUAUUAUAUUCAAUAUUAGUGCAUAAACCAUACAUUUUAUGGAAAAACCGUGAUAUUAAACAUUUUGAAAUCAAUUUCUUUUAGAAAUAAGUGAGGAUAUUUCUUCUAAAAAAAAAAAAAAUUGGAAAAAACCCAAAAAAAUUAACUCGAGAAUAUGAAGAUCAAACUAAACUGGGAAUGGAGCAUUCUUUGAAAAAAAAAUUGAAAAUUAGUUGUGAGACAUUGGGAAGAAAAUAGUUAUUUUCUUUAAUGUCUAAUUUCCCUAAAUUAAUUAUAUUUAAUUGGAUAAUGUAUCAACUUAAAAUGACAAGAAUGCCCUUACUUUGAUCUAAAUACAUUUACAACUCUCAUCUCCCUUACGCAGACUCCCCACCCUUUCCCCUGUACACAAUCUGCAUCGACAGCCACCAUCGUUACAUUGCCUUCCGUCUUCCGUCCGCGCUGCUCCAACACAUACAUGUAUACCAACAUAAGCUUCUAAUACUUACAAUUUCUUCUUUUGCUUCGAUUUCAUUUCAGGUAUGUUUCUCAACCCUCAUCUACUUGGCAUGACGAUCGCUCCUCCAUAUUUAAUCCAUCCGUUAAGAAUUUCAAAUUUUGAAUAUAGAACAUCGAAUUGCUAUUCAGUUUUGGUGGAUUUUCACUAUUUUUGUAUCACUAAUGAUACUAUUAUAGGUUAAUUUUGCUAAUCUUAAUAUGAGCACCAAGUGUUGGAUGAAAUUCCACAAUGAAAUGUUAAUAGUACAACUGAAGUGCAAGGAAUUUUCCAGAUAGAUGCAUUAACCAAGGAGCUCAAAGCACAAUAUCCGUACCUUUUGGCUUGUCUCACUUACACCCCUAAUUAUCCAUCUGUCUAAAUAAGUUGGGUCAUUUGUCAGAUCAUUACAAAUAAGACAUGACAAUAAAAUAUAUUUAACCAAAAAUGACGUAUACCUUGAUAGUCUGGGCCAUCUGGAAUGAAUUCACGCUGAUAGGGAUGCAAUAUAAUCGCAAGCCUGAAAAAUCCCCAGUUGUUUAGGAGGUAUUGUCCGGUUGUUGUUUGAAAAGGAGAGAGAUCUCCACCAAUUAUGUGAUUCCAUGACUUGUAAUAACCCAACACAUCUUCUUCAUCUUCUUUUUCUUCUCCAUCAUCAUACACCAGACUCACCCCCACACUCCUUUACAAGUUCAAAAUAUGAAUCUGUAACAGUAAUAAUAAUGUGGUCACCAGCCUCCAUCUCAUUUAUCCCAAACAUCCAAUGACUCAACACCACCCAAUAAUCUCCACUUGUACUAAAUCUGUCCCCGUGACGUUCGUAUAUCCACGUGCGAUUCUUUGUUAUAUUACAAAUUCUCAUCAUUGGCCUUUCGUUAAGGAAGUCUAAAUUACUCCAACCCAAGCUACGUAAUACCUUUUCCUUAACAGUCACCAUUGGUUGGAUUUUGACUACGCCUUCAAUUUCAUACGACCAAGGUGCAUAAUGUACCCAAGAUGUGUAAUCUAUCCGGUACAUUGAUAACUGGAGUGGGGACAUUUCUGAAUCAAAUACAACUUUUUCUACAUAAUGCACAUCAGAAGGAUUAAUAAACAGCUCUCUUACUGUACAUGGAGGAUACUCGGCUGACUUCAACUUAUUACAAUACUGCAUACUAAGUAUCUCAAGUCUAGGAAGGGUUCUCACACAACUAGGCAUGUAAUUGAUAGGAUUUUCAUCUAAAUAUAAUCCCUUUAACAUGUAUAGAUUACUAAAGUCUGUGGGAAAGGAUUCAUGAGACAAUUUAUUAUUUGGAAGUGACAAAGUUACUAAAGACCUAGGUAAAGACAUUGCAAACAACUUUAAAUCAUGUGGUAUAGCACCUACGAAGGCUCUGUUUGUGCCAAUGUUGUUAACCGCGCUCAAUUCCAGUGAAUCCAUAUCCAUAUUCUUGAUUCGAGAUUCACCAAGAUUACAACCAUCUAGCAACACCGUUUUAACCUUCUUUAACAUGCCUAUAUUUUCUGGAAGUUUUUCAAGCUUCUUGCAGUAGCUCAAAUCAAUGAGCACAAGUUCAACACAUUGCCCAAUUGAUUCCCAAACAUCAACCAAACCAAUGCAAUGUCUAAGUAUUAACCUCUCGAGUGCAAGGAGUUGGUCAAAGUCACCAACACUAUGAAGUUUUUUGCAGAAACUUAAAUUAAGAAUCUUCAGUGAACCAAGUAACUUUUUCUCUUUUAAGCACAAUCCAUCCAACUACAGAAAUGGAAAUAAGUUAGUAUAGUAUUGAAUAUUAUCAUCAUUGAUGAAUAAUAAAUGAAGAUAAAUUUACCUUUUGUCUCUUCUCAAGUCAUUGUGGGUUGUUAUAACAACCGAAAAAUGAUUCGAUAUUGCUAUAUGACAUGUCAAGAGCAACAAGAUUCUGCAUAGGUAAGCCUGGUGGUAUAUAAAUUAAAGAAAACCCACGCAUAGACAACCAUCUAAUUUCUUCUGGAAAGUUCUCAUAAGACCUGUUAAUGUGCACAUAAUUUAGUUGUAGUAGCAUCAAACGAUCCAUGCUACUGAAUGUAUCCGUUUUCAAUUCAAAUGAUGCCCCCAACUUCUCUUUCUCAACCAUGCGCAUGUCAAGGGCAAGGCCUAGAAGAUUUCCCUUACCCUAAGUAGAAACACAAUUCAAAAAACGAAUUAGGCUGUACAAAAUAUUUUGGAAAUACAUACUACUAAAAACAGACAUUGCCUCUUACCUUUUUUUGUUUCAACACUUCGAGUGUCUCCUUAUGACACCAUAAUCGACUCCGCUUCAAUGGCUUGUCAAGAGAUUCUUGACAUACUUCAAAUCUUCACAUAUCUUGAACCAACUUAUGCAUCUUCAAUUCAUUAUUCCAUCCAAUACUAAGAAGACAUUUGUCAAUGAGAUUCGUAAUUCCGGAUCUUGUGUUUAUAUCACAUGCCUUUAAUAUUGUUUCGCUAACAUCUCUAUCUGUUCCAACAAAAAAACAAGCAAUAUGCUUAAAUAGCUCCUUAUCAUUUUUGGUUGGCAAAGAGUCGAAGCUCAUUUUCAAGACAUUAUUUACAAGGGAACUAAUUUCUUUCUUUAGUCCUUCCAUGAACCCUUCCCAGUACGCCACAUCCCGAUUAUGUAGAGAUUUACCCAAAACUUCAAGAGCCAAUGGAUGUCCUUGACAAUAUUUCACAAGCUUAUCCGAAACCUCUUCAUAACCUGCCUUGGGAUGGUUACACAUGAAUGCAUUGGAACACAAAAGUUGUCGUGAUUUAGUCUCGUGUAAGCCUUCAAGGAAGUGUUCUACAUGCUUGGGAUUAAUGUUUGUUUUGAAUAGUGCACAACUCUCUGUCAACCAUCUUUCCUUUGUUGUUAUUAUAACUUUGCUUCCAGGAUGAAAACCUUUGCUUCCAAGUAAUGCAUCCAACUGAACAAGAGUACUGAUAUCAUCAAGAACUAAAAACACUUUUUUACGGGCUAGAGCAUUUUCUAUCUUUGCGGUGUAUAUUGAAACAUCAAGAACUUUAAUUGAACUUGUUUUUGAAAUGUCAUUGCAGAGUUGUUCUUGUAAAUCAAGCAACCGAUUGAACUUUCCUUUACACAUCCUACUAAUAUCUUCAAUACAACUACUUUUGUGGAAUUCAUGACAAUGUAGCCCGUAGACAUGUUUGGCUAAAGAUGUCUUUCCGAGCCUAUACCCGAAAUAGUAAGCAUGUCUACCAUAUGUGAUGAUCCAUCUUUCAAUCAUGAAGUUACAAAGUCAACAUCAUAGUCCAUCCCUAUAAAUAGCGGUUGAGCACUUCUUAAGGGUACAUGUAAUCUAUAGUGGAUGUCAUUCACAAUUUCUUCAAUGAACUUUGUCUCUCACCAGAAAUUUGAUUUAAUAAGAACUUCAAUACAUAAUAUAUAAACUAACAAACCAGAUUUGGAUAUUUAGUUUAUCCAGAGAUCCAAAUAAAAAAAUAUAUCAUAGUUAUUAAUUUUAAAAAGUUCUUCACAUCAAAACCAUAUUGUGCUUAUAAUUAACCAUAUGAUAGGAAUAAAGAUACUAGAAUGCUCAAAUGAAUAAGCUUAACAAGAAUAGACUUUUUCUCUUUCUCUCGCUUCAGUCCUGUGAGAGGUUAGUGGUCAUACCAUUACUCUUGUCCCUUUUAUCCUUUUUGUGUCUCCUCAUGUAAACCUUCCGUAUGUUGGUCUUCUUGGGCUUAAGGCCAAUGGGCUGAAUUAGUUCUGGACUCAUGGAUUUUUUUUUCUUAUCACCAUAUAAGUAGCUAACGUGUAAGGUUAUAAAUAUAUGUAUAAUAAGACCAAUGCUACAAAUGUAAUACAAGACUUCACUAAUGGGUCAUCUAACCUGAUAAGGAUCCUAACCGAGUACCACCCACCAUAUACUUGAGCCCAAUUUGGAUAAGGAUGACCCCAAUGAACAUAAUCCUUGGAUAGUCUAUAUAAGGAAAAGAUACAGGGAAUGGAUACGUGUAGGGUGAAGAAUGGAGAAGUUAGUUAUGCGUCAAGAAAGAGGGAGGGGAGAAUAUAACUUAGUGAUUUUGCAUGAUGUUACCUGUCUAAAAAUUUCUUUUGAGAAUUAUUGUUCAUCAACUUCAAGCUUAGGCAGGAGGUAAUCACACACUGAAUUUCCUUUCGGAUUGUUUUAAAUCGUUUUCAUUCAUUUUCUUUCGGUUAAUAAAAUAAAUCGAUCUCUCUCUUUCAAAUUUAUUUACUGUUACAAAUUUUUUGAGUUAAGAACUUCAAAUAUCAAGGUCUACCAUAACUUCACUAUGUUUCUACAAGACCAUCAAACUUAACUAUGAAUGUGGCUGCGUCUUACAAAGUGUCGGUUAUAGGAUAUCUUUUACUACUUACAUGUAAGAGAAGUUAUUUAUCAUAAAACAUACUAUGUUUCAAAGUGGUAUCGUAUAUUUGAUAAUAGAUGCCUAACAAACGAUUCCAAUUUGGUUUUUAAUAGAAGCAUAUAAAAAUAAAUGAAAUGGUUUAUCUAAAUGGACUAGCGCUUUGAUAAAAUUCAAAAUGCAUAACAUGUGUGAAAAAACUAUCAGUUGGUAAUUUCCGAUCAUACAUGGACUUUUGAUAAGCCUUAUCAUAAUGUGUUAAUAACGAACGUAUUUAUCUGUUCAUACAAGUAGGUAUUAGCAUAGAGUUCAAAGUCUUUGUUUUGUAGUCAUCUUCUUAUAUACGUGUGGUAUAUGUAGAGGAUAGGAUAUUGAGUUAGGGUAUCAGUUAGAAGGAAAGGGUUGUAUCAUUUCUUUGUUAUAACAAGUGAAUUUCCUUUAAUCUAUGUGUUGUUUUUUGCAUAAACUGGGCUCAUUAAUCGGUAUCAGAGCGUUAAAACAAGAUGGGAGAUGUUGCCACUCCAAGCACGAGUGGAACGAAAGAAGGAUUGUCUCUUUCUCUUCAUAUGCCUAUGCUAAAUUCCAAAAAUUUAACAGUAUGGUCAAUCUGAAUGAAGGUAAUCUUUAACAUGCAUCAGGUUUGGGAUACCAUUAAUCCAAGAUCGACCAAUAUUAAGAAGAAUAACAUCGCCAUUGCAGUCCUUUUCUAAGCAAUAUCCGAAGACCUCAUCUUGCAAGUUGGCGUGAUGAACACGGCAGGAGAAAUUUGGAAUGCAAUCAAGACUCGUCAUCUAGGCGCUGAUAGGGUAUGAGAAGCACGACUGUAAACUCUCGCUACCGAGUUUGAAAAUUUAAGGAUGAAGGAGACAAGUACUAUCGAUGAAUUCGCUAGCAACCUGUCAGAUAUCGCGUCAAAAUCAGUCUCUCUUGAUAAAACUAUCCCUGAAAGAAAACUAGUGAAGAAAUUCCUCACUUUCCUACCAAGAAAAUUUGUUCAUAUUAUCGCUUCAAUAGAUCAAGUUCUCGAUCUUAAGACGGUUAGAUAUGAAGAUGUGGUGGGGCGAUUGAAGGUCUAUGAAGAACGUUUUCGCGAGGACAAACCCGUUAUCGAUCAAGGAAAGUUGUUGUUCAAGAACACAACACCUAACAAUCGAAAUCAUGAAGCCAACAGAGGAGGACGCGGUGGAUGAAGAUUAGGGUGAUGACGAGGUGGAGGUCGCCAUUCGCAAAAUCAACGACGACCCACACCAAAUUCCAACGAAGAGACCGAUAAUCCAAAAUCAAAGACCAAAGACCAAAGACAUAUCAAAAGUUCAAUGCUAUAGAUGUGACAAAUUUGGUCACUUUGUGUCCUAGUGCCCAGAAUGGAAGGAAAAAACAGGAAGAGGCUAACAUAGUAGAAGUUGAUGAUCACGACCCACAACUGUUUAUGUUAAAAACAUAGUCUCAUUCUUCACCGAUGUAGUAGAAAGACGGAAUUGUAAUCUUAUUGAGAUGACACAAAGUAUCCUGAAAGCAAAACAAGUUCCUAACUACCUUUGGGGGAAGCAAUAAAUCAUGCAACCUACAUCAUAAAUUGAAUCCCAACAAAAGCAAUGAAAGAAGCCACUCCAUAUCAGCUAUACUACAAUAGAAAACCCAAUAUUGAACAUAUUUGAGUAUUUGGAUGUGUGGCCUAUGCAAAAACAGUUGGAACACAGUUAAGAAAGCUUGAUGUUCGCUCAAGAAAGACAAUUCAUCUUGGAUCAGAACCAAGAACGAAAGCAUAUUGGUUAAAUGACCUGAUUUGUCUCAAAAUUGUUGUAUCUCGAGACGUGAUUUUUGACGAAAACACAAAUUAGGAUGAGAAGUCACUGGUCGACUCUAACUCAACACAUAACCUCCUGGUAUGUUUUGCGUUCAUUGACCAGGGAUUAUAGACAUGGGAGACAAUAUCAGAUGGAUUAGACCACGUUAAUGGUGAGCAACCAAAGCGAGAAAGUGGGGGGAAAUGAGAUGGAACUUGAGCGUCCAGAUGAACCCAAUGAAGAUCACGAAGAUCCUCCCUUACGAAGGUCAGGCAGGACCACUCAUCCACCAUGCAGGUACGAUGACUACGAAAGGAAUUUAUAUGUUGAGACUAUUUACCUUCUCCUUUCAUUAAACAAUGAUGAGCCAUCAAGUUAUAAUGAAGCACAAGAUAAUCCAAACCGAGUUAAAGCUAUGGAGGAAGAAAUUGCCUCUAUCGAAAAAAAUGGUACCAUGAAGUUAAUCUCAAAAAUACGACUAUUAUUGGCCUAAAAUGGGUAUUUAAUGUCAAAAGGGAUGCAAAUGGCUCAAUUAGUAAAUACAAAGCAAGGCUCAUGGCAAAGGAAUACCUUCAAUAACCUGACAUUGACUUGAAUUUAGAUUGUUCGAAUUCUUAUUGCUCUUGCGGCGUCAAAAGGGUGGGAGUUUCAUCACUUACAUGUAAAAUCUGCUUUUCUGCAUGGUGAAUCACAAGAAGAUGUGUUUGUUCACCAACCGGAAGGUUUCCUGAAGAAAGGAAGAGAAGAUUCAAUAUACAAAUUAAAAAGGCAUUAUAUGGUUUGUGACAAGAACCACACACAUGGAAUAUCAAGUUAGAUGAAAUUUUGAAAGAAAGGAAGUUUCAGAGAUGUGUGCAAGAACAAUUUGUGUAUCGAAGGUGCAUUGGAUCAUAUUUGAUCCUGGUUGGUGUAUACGUUGACGAUCUGGUCGUUACAUGGUUGGUGUAUACGUUAACGAUCUGAACAAGCACAAUCAUCAUAUCCAAAUUUAAGCAAGCAAUGGCUACAAAUUUGGAUAUGAAUGAUAUGGGCAUGCUAAGAUAUUACCUAGGAAUCGAGGUAUAUCAGCAGAAGGAUGAAAUCAUUAUCACACAAGAAAACUAUGUUCAAAAAGUACUCAAGGAUGCAAAAAGUACUCAACGAUGCAGGCAUGGACGAUUGCAAUCCAACACUAGUUCCAAUGGACUCGAAUAUGAAAUUCUCAAAAAAUAUUGAAGAAGAAGACAUAGACGCCAUAGAGUAUUGAAGUCUUGUAGGAAGACUAAGGUAUUUACUGUAGAAAAGAUAUGAUCUUUCGUAUUCGGUUGGGAUUACAAGUAGGUAUAUGGAAAUUCCAAAAAGGUCUCACAUGGCAACAAUAAAGCAAAUUCUAAGGUAUAUAAAAGGAACUUUGAGUUUUAGGAUAAGGUAUACACAUUGGAAACCAUUGGAAUUAGUGGGAUAUAGUGAUAGUAGCCACAAUAUUGAUCAUGAUGAUGGAAGGAGUACAAGUGAAAAUGUUUUUUUUUAUCUUGGAAGGUCACUUGUGACUUGGUGUUCAUAGAAACAAUAAACGAUUGCAUCGUCUUCAUGCGAAGCAUAGUAUAUGGCUACAUGUGCAGCAAGUUGUCAAGCAAUUUGGUUACGAGAUCUUCUUCAAGAAAUAACCAGAUCAAAAUUACAAGUAAUAAUUAAGAUUUAUAACACAUCUGCAAUCGCAUUAGUUAAAAAUCGAAUUUUUCAUAGCCGGAGUAAAUAUAUAAAGUCCCAUUACCACUACAUUCGAGAACAUGUCGAAGAGAAGGAAAUUUGUGUGGAUCAUGUUAGUGGGAAGGAACAUUGUGUAGAAAUUCUAACAAAGGCACUCGCCAAUAUUAAGUUGCUGAGAUGCACAAACUUCUUGGGGUGGAGGACCUCUUAAUUUCCAUUCGGAAAUUAGGGAGUGAAUGUUGGUAAUUUACGGUUAUACAAGGACUUUUGAUAAGCCUUAUCAUAAUGUGUUGAUAUGGAAAGUAUUUAUCUGUUAAUACAAGUAGGUAUUAGCAUAGAAUUUGAAGUCUUUGUUUUGUAGUCAUUAUCUUAUAUACGUGUGGUGUGUGUGUGUGUGUGUGUAUAUAUANNNNNNNNNNNNNNNNNNNNNNNNNNAUAUAUGUCAAGUUAGGGUAUUAGUUAAAAGGAAAUGGUUGUAUCGAAGUUUGAGUUAUUUCUUUGUUAUAACAAGUGAAUUUCCUUUAAUCUUUGUGUUGUUUUCUACAUCAACUUGGUUCUUUAUAAUUUAUCUAUAUAAAUUAAUUUAUAGGAUCAAAUAACACGAUACUUAGAUUCACUUCGUACAUCUCCGUGCCAUUUUAGUAAUUUUUAUGAAAAAACUUGUAAAAUGUGAGGUUUUUUCGGAAACAACUAGAAGGUUGAGGGUUUUUUCGUAAAAAAAAAUAAAAAGACAAGGGUGAGGUUUUUUCGGAAAAAAAAAAUGAAAAAUACAAGGUUUUUUCAAGGAAAAAAUAAAGUGGAUGUUUAAUCUGAAAAAAAAAAACACAAAAUAUAAGGUCUUUUAUGAGAUUAACCCAUAUCCUAAUGCAUGAAAUAUAAUCCAACUUGAUGAUACUAAGUAAACUUAUUGAAACGCAUAGGGAGAAGAUGGUAAAGACAUUUCAUGUGUUUACUCAAACAAAAUUGAAGGUCUAUCGAAAUUUGGGUAAGAAAGUUGUUACCUUCCAUUUACAUCAUUUCCUUUUAAAUUAGCUACUUCUACAAGCGCCGUAUUCCAUCGAUCCAUCUUUUGAGCCCAUUGACUUCUUUUAUGUGGAUUUUUCUCUAUCUCCAUCGUUUGUUUAUGCUUAGCCAUUGCAUCGUUUCUUCAUAACAUGUGUGGGAUCCACAUGAUAAUAUAUGGGGAUGACAAAAUGGUCGGAUGUCAUACGCUGCUCAAGGAUCAAAACCAAUUCAUCAAGACACCAUGUUGAAGAAGCGUAAUUCUAGGACAACACUAUAAUAGAAGCCCGAGAUGCUUUAAUUGCAUUCUCUAAUUCCGGUUUCAGAUCUUCCUCUGAUUCAAUCUCUUCAUUGUCCAAGAAGGUAGUGAUAUUGGCGUCAACGAGGGCCUAAUGAAGGUGAUCAGUGAAACUAUGAUGAGUAUCAAGACCUUUAAAACUUAUAAAUACAUCAUAUCUAUGAGCAUGAGUUGAUGAACUACGACCAGAAGUUGAUGAACUAUGGCCACGACUUGAUGAAGAAGAUGAAGGUCCUUCUGGAAAUUUAGAUAGAACAACCAUUAUGAGUUAUGUGUUGAUGACUCUUCACCCUUCCUAGGAUUUCUGAUCAACUCCCCCGCACGUUAUCCGUUAUGAAAGUUGGUUUCACCGGCUUCUCUCACUUGUGCUUCAAUGCUAGGAUCCUGUGCAUAAUGUUUCUACAUGAAAACAAAAUAAUCAAUAGUUACAAUAUGCAACUUAAGUCUCAUUGAACAAAUGAAACCUCAAUAAUAAUAAUGCUUCGAAUUCCUCAAAAAUAAAACUUUGAGGAUUAAAAAAAAAUAUAUAUAUANNNNNNNNNNNNUAUAUGCAGCUCAGAACUUUGCCAUGUGAACUAAUACACCUCAAACAUGUUUAAAAUUCAAUAUAUAAACUUUAAUUGUGUUAAUAUGCCAAUAUUAUCCCCACACUUUGAGUUUCGAGUUGAUUUAAGGGCUACAUAGUGCAUAAUGUGUAUAUAUGUGUGUUUUAACCUGUGCUUUUAAUUUCUGUGUUCAAAGGACCUUCUAAACUCGGGUGUUAGGUGUACAAGGGACAUAUGGGAAUCAAGCUUUGGCAUCUAAACUGUUAGGUUUAAUAGGUUUAUUUAGUCAAGGGCUACAUAGGUAACUUAACUUGGUCAUAUGGUGACCGGGUUUUUGGGAAAUAAUUAGGCAGCAUGCUGCAUUUUCUUUAGGUAGGAUUUGUUUACACAUUUUGUAUAGGUAGCACGUGUGUUUGUUUGUUGCUUUUCCUUGUCUUCAUCAUAGUGACUAGUUAUGGAGUCUUUUGUUUUAUUCUGUGUUUGUAAGCCUAUAUAAGGCAUAUCUUUAAUUUAAUUAAAGUAACCCCAAGAAAAGCACCUUCGGUGCACAUCGUGAGUGUUUAGUAGUGUGUGUUGUGUGUGUUUUCAAGGACCUGUACCAACAUAAACACUGUAAAAAAAAACAACAAAAGCAGAAUUAUUUAAAAGCAGUUACUAUGCUAAUAUUUUCUAAAUGAACUCCACUUUAAGAUCACGUUGGUAAUCCUCAAAGAAAUCAACACCAAAUACCAUUCUAGAUACAACUACAAGAUCAACAAUUGCCUCCUAUGAAAGGAAUUGCAAAAGAUAUAAGGCGUGUUUGACACAGAGCUUUUGAAAGCGUUUGGGAGCUUCUGGCUUUUAACUUUUGACAAAAUGCUCUAGUUUAAACAAAAAGCUUCGUUUGGCAGUACGAGCGUUAAGCUUUUAGUUUUAACAAAACACUCCAAUUCUAAAAGUUACUUCAUCUAGCGUUUAACAAAACGCUAGUGAGCUUUUGAAAUCAAUUUCCAUAAUUACUCUUAAAAAUAUAUUUAUAUAUUUAUUUAUUUUUAAUCAAUUGUCCUUUUAUAUAAUUUUAUAUAUUUCAAAAGCUUCCAACUACUUUUGUUAAACAUUCAUAUAACAAGCAAAAGCUAUAGCUUCCUACCAGCUAUUCGCUCCCCGCAUUCAGCUAACAACUACUUUUGCCAAACAUGCCUAUAGGCAAUUUCAAGCUUACACGAGAUAUCAACAAACAAUUAAAAGAUUUAAAAAAAAAUAACAAAUUUCUUGGCAUGGUUGUUUAUGGAUCUCCAAAAUUAGCAACAACAGUCUUCCCGGAUUUAAAUUUCUCAAUCACUAGAUCUAGUAUCAGCAUACAUCUAAGGAAUUUCGACUAACAUUCACAGGCUUGUUCGUUCCAAAUGAUAUGUAUUUGAAACCAACAAGCCAAGCCCUGUCGAAGGGUUCAACUUGAAACUAUAUAAUAGAAGAAAUUUCAAAGAUAAAUGCACUCUAUACACAAGUGUAACAACCUGAAAUUGUUCCUCUCGCCGUAAUCGUUUCGUCAACAAAAUUCGCCGGUAGCAAAUUGUCCAAGUUCGUUUUUUAUUAGGUCAAUUAAUUUAAGGCUUUUAUUUUGACCUCGUAAAUACCCAAACACAUUAGAAACGCAAGUAAACACCUCAAACUAAUAAUUAGAAAAAAUUUAGUUUUGACCAUAUCGAGUUACGACAACUUAAUCGGGUGCGACCCAAAGCCUCGGUUAACGUCGGUAUCGGGUAGAAUUCCACCGUGUCUCAUUUCCAAACCAUAUUUAAAGUUGUUUAAGCCUCAUUUGAAGCCUUUUCAUUCUCUCUCUAACCUCUCUCCUCAAAUCCAACUUGUUGAUCCAAAAUCUCUCAUUUCAAGCUUCAAAACACCAAGGUAACUAUCCUAGCUUAUAGUAUAACACAUUUAGCCUUCAAAUUCGAGUUUAAAAUCAUGGAUUAGGACCAUUAUCAUGAGUUUACGGCCCUAGAAUAGUCCUAGGCCGUGAACUCAUAUAAAAGGGGUUUUUGAGCCAUAAAACCCUUCCAAACCUCAUUUGGAGCUUAGAUAUGACAGCGAAUUACCAAAUCGGACUUAGAACACCUUGAACUUAAUUUUAAAGGAGUAAACAUGAGUUUACUGCCCAAGAACAUGCUUGGGCCGUAAACUCAUUAUCUUGGAGAGUAAACUCAUUUUCAAGUGUUUAAAUGCCACUUAAACACACCAUUAGCCUUGGAAUAAAUCCUAGAACCAACCACAAUUGAAUUGGGGACCUUAAACAUGAUAAAAACCCUUCAUUUGAGAGUUUACGGCCAUAACCCCCCAAGAAUAGGUUCCAGGGCCAUAAAAUCCUAAACAUAAGUCAAAUGGUGCCCAAAAUUCAUCCUAAGGCUUGUAAAAGUUGUUUGAAUCACAUGUGAUUGUCCUAGUAUCACCAAAUUACAUAAGGAUUAUGUGUGGGGGAGUUUACGUCCGUAAACUCCUAGUUUACUGCCAUAAACUCCAAUAAAUGGUCCAUUUGUGAGUUAACACCCUUUCCAAUGCAUUAGACUCAAACCUAGAUUUAAUCCCCAAGUGUUUCAAGGCCAUUUUGCACCAUAAACCUUCCAUCCAUGAGUUCACGGCCAUGAACUCAUGUGAAUAUGGUGUUUAGGGCCGAAAACUCUUAUAAGAGUUUACUCUUGAAGAUUAAACUCCAUUCCUAAGCCAUACAAGUCCUUAGAUGUCACCCGGGUCACUCCAAACACUUGAUUUGAAGUGUUUUCGCGUCUUGGAAUGUUUAAGUGUAUCUAAUUAGUGAUUUAAAAUUCUAGUUGGAUAUAUUUGUGUAUUAUUUAAUAUUACAUAGGAACCUUGCACAUAUUCAAGCCUCGAUUCAACCUUUAGCAUCCUAGUCGACACAUUCCGCGACCGGUGAGUUCAUACCCCUACCCUUUUUCAAUGGUUUUUCAAUGUUUUCAGGGGGGGGGGGNAGGGGGGGGGGGGUAAAAGCAAAAGUACAAGAAUAUCUUGUACUUGAAUUUAUUAUUUCAUUUGAAUGAUUUCAUAAUUCGUACACCUUUAAGAAUUGAAAACAUAUUAACAAACUGUUUUGACUUGCAGAGGAGUUGUUCAAACCGAUUUAAAUUCUUAUUAUAUAGUAUUAUACUACACAAUUGAUUGUUCACACUUUUAUAGUUGAAAUCAUAGAUCUUUUAUAUUGUCCUUAAUAAAACACCCCUAGAUGCGAGUGUGAAGGACAGGUAUCAUUAGAACUUUUGUUAGGUCCUUGAUAGUACUCCUAGAUACGAGAGUAAAGAACUAAUAGAAAUAGAUUUUUCCGUAUUAAUAACUUUCAGUUUUAAAUUCAUUAAUCUUAAGAUUGGAGACACGUCCUUUGUAACGCUUCCUUUAGAUACGAGAGUGGAGGACUAUCCCUGUAAAUAGAACCUCCAGAAAAGGGGAGAGCGUGACUUGAGUGUAUAGAUCUAUACAGGACUGACUAUCCCGCACCUGGCUGCUAGCUACAGCCGAACCGAAAGGUUCAAGGGUGACAAAAGUCAUAAAAAGAUACUGACCCUGGUCUGAGUCAUAUUUAGUCUGUAGUAUGGUUAUGGAACUCGCAAUCAAGAUUAUGAACAUUUUGUACUUAUUUAUUUGUUUUAUAUAUGUGUUAAAACUAAUGUACAUUUAAGGGUAAUCAGACUUUCAGGAGACUCCACACACACACUUUAAGUAUGGUAGAUACUUGUACAUUACUUUCAGAUUCGGUAACACUUCACACACAUUUAGGAAAAUAUGGGAUUUUCCUGGGAUAACAUUUGUACAUACCAGAAACGUGUAAUAACAUAACUAAACUUUACAAUUCAUAAGGGUAAACAUGUUUUUCAGUGUACAUCUUUUACAUUACAUUUUGGAUUUGGUAACCAACUGUUAAGAAAAUAUGGUAUUUUCUUGGAUAACCACUUUUCGGAAAACUAAAGGAAUCUUGUUCAUUUUCACAAAACAAACUGCUUAUGAACUCACCAGCUUUAUGCUAAUUUUUAAACUGCUUGUAUUCUCAAGUUCUCCUUAGACAGUUAUUCCCGCGUUCUUUUGCAGAAGACGAAGCGUAUGGAGUCACGUCCUUCUUUUGUUUAAACUUAUGUAUCUAUGAAACUUGUAUCACUUUACUUUUUAUCAGGUGUAAUGAAAACUAUGUAAUGUAAUAUUUUGUGUUUACUUCGCUUACUAUGUACAUUGGUUGUGAUAUUCAUGAUGUCCUCCGCCCCGGAACGUUUCCGCCCUGAGUUUCGGGGUGUGACAUAUUGGUAUCAGAGCUCUUGUUUAUAGUUAACUAAGUAUACAAAACUUUACAUGGUAUAAGACUAUAAACAUUAAGGGUCCUAAGUGCUCUGAACUAAAAGUAUACCUCCAAAUAUAAGUAUUUUCAAAAAGUAUACAAGUAUACCUAACCGUCGAGAAUCGUAACUAUAAGUAGAACAAAACAUAAGUAAAUGGGUGUUGUACACUGCAGUUAAACCUGGGCAGUUAUGUAGUCGUGUCUAGGAUCAAUAUAGCCUGAUCAACUAUAUUCAUUCGAGACACGGCCAACAUGUGCUUGGGAGUGACUGUGGAAUGCGACAUACCUAAAACUUACCCAAAUACCACAAACAACGAGUCGUCGUCGCAGCGAAUCAUGAAAUACUAUGGGAGUAUUUCUAGAUCCAAAUUUGUUGUAGAAAAUUCUCAUUCAAGCGUUGCCCCUCGAUCAUUCCUUUAGCGAUAGUUUGUCUGCUUUGAUAAUUCAUCCCUGCUUUAUCACUUCAUAGAAUUAUAUGUCUGUCAUAAAGAGAUAUCCCUUGUUUCAUAUCUCUUGAUUUGAUUCAGAGGACUUAUCAUCCUCUUUUUCCUAAUCAUUUUAGAUCGAAAUGUCUUCAAAGAAAGGACCCAGUUCCAGGAACAACGACUCUUCGUCAUCACCUCCUUCUCUAUUCGACCUUGUGAUGUUUCAGUUGGCUGUCUCGGCCGCAGUGGCAGCUACCAUGAAGGUAUUGUGCCCUGACAGGUUUGGAGGACCAGAAUAUAACCCCUACCCCCAAAACCAUGAAGAUGAUCAAGAGCACCAGAAUGAGUGUAGUAAGAGUAAGAAGAAGGUUUUCUGGAAAAAGCCAAAGGGUCAGAGUUCACAAGGACCCUCCAAGAGGCAUGAAACUGUGGCAGUCCAAGUUGCUACUAAUUUUGUCGUUGUUCCUAUAGUUCAAGCUACCACUGCUCCUGUUGCUGCGUCUACAGCUCAAGCACCUACCACUAGGUAUGCUGGUAAUCUCCCUUGGUGCAACAGGUGUAAUUAUCACCAUCGUAUUCCUGAUCUAUGUCGUGAGAUGAUCUGCAUCAACUGUGGCAAGAAGGGCCACCUUACUCGACGCUGCAGAGCACCAUCUCAGCUAAUCAGUCAAGCUUCCGGAUCGAGUACCGUGCAAGCCUGUUAUAGUUGUGGAGAAAUCGGGCAUUUCAAGCGAAACUGCCCAAAAGCAGCAACCACCAACAACAUCAACAUCGCCGAGAUGGUUUUAGCUAUGAAGCAAGAGGAGGCAGCCAUUGAUCCCACCAACGUCGCGGGUACAUUUCUUUUUGACAAUCCUUAUGCUCGCAUCCUUUUCAAAUCUAGUGUCAAGAAAGUUCUGUUAGUUAUUCAUUCCAAUAUCUUCGUAAACAUAGCCCUCGUCUAAUGACCGAAACAUUUACCGUCAAAAUAGUUAUCGAUGAGAAUGAGUGCACUAACGACUUAUCUCUAAGUUGUGUCCUUACUUUGAGUAAUCAUUCUUUCCUCUUUGACCUGGUGUCAGUUUCAAUAAAGAGCUUUGAUGUUACCCUUGACAUGUAUCGAUUGAGUCCCGAUCGUGCUAGUACAUUUUGUUAUGAUAAAGACUAUUCUCCUCAAUCUCCCCUCUGAUAGACCCUCAUGAUAUAUGGUGUCAAGCUUAGCUCAAAACUUCACAUCAUUCCCUACCUCAAAGCUCGAAAUUUUCUGUGAAAGGAGUGCCAGGUAUCCCUAGUUCAUGUAAUCAGCGAGAAACGAGAAGAUAAAGACCCCGAGAGCGUCUCCGAAGACUGUAAUAUUCCUGAUAUCUUUCCGAAUAGAUCCCGAGAAUUCCUCCCAAACGCCAAGUUGAAUCUCGUAUCAACUUAAUCCCUGGAAUUCCCCCUAGCCAAACCUCCGUAUCGUCUUGCUCCAGCAGAAAUGCAGGAGUUAUUCGGUCGGCUUAAUGAGUUGACCGUCAAAACCGAUAUCCUCUUUCCCGAAUAGAUGACUUCUUCGAUAAUUUCAGGGAGCCAGCUACUCCUCGAAGAUAUACCUUAGGUCAAGACACCAUCAGCUACGAGUUCAUGAGAGUGAUGUUUCAAAGACAUCAUUCAGGACUUGAUAUAAUCACUAAGAGUUCGUAUUGAUCCCCUUCGGUCAAACCAUUUUCCUCCGGUCAUGUAGUAGGCGAUGAAGACAUACGCAUGGAUCCUCCUAAGAUCGAAACAAUAGAGAAUUGGUCGGCACCGAAGACUCCCAUAGAAAACUUCACUAGAUCGAUAGAAGAGUUACGCCGAUAUACAACAUAAACCUCUGGAAUUCCAGGCUGGAGAUCGUGUCCUGUUAAUGGUCUCACCCUGGAAAGACAUGAUACACUUUGUAAAGCACGGAAAACUUAACUCGUGGUACAUUAGACCCUUCGAGAUUCCCAUUAGGAUUGAUUCCAUAGCCUUCAAACUCCGAGUACCUUCAGUACUUAGCAACAUUCACCCUAUACCUUGUGCCUCUAUUCUUAAUGAAUACAUGUAUGAUAAAACCAUAGAAAUCUAUCCUGAUGUGAUCAAGAACCACGAUAUACCUAAACUUUCUGGAUGAACAAACUAAGAUCAUAGACCAAGUAAUCAAACGUUUGAAACCGAGCCGCGUCCCGUUAGUGAAGGUUCGCUGGAAUGACAUGCGAAGAUCUGAAAUCACUUGGGAUCAUGGAAGAUUCAAUGUAAUAGGUAUAUCCACACCUUUAUCCAUAAUUGGUGCCUUAAUCUUUGAAUUUCGGGAUGAAAUUCCCUCUAACGGGGGGAUAAUGUAACAACCCGAAAUUGUUCCUCUUGUCGUAACCGUUUCGUCAAUAAAAUUCGCCGGUAGCAAAUUGUCCAAGUUCGUUUUUGAUUAGGUCAAUUAAUUUAAGGCUUUUAUUUUGACCUCGUAAAUACCCAAACACAUUAGAAACGCAAGUAAACACCUCAAACUAAUAAUUAGAAAAAUUUUAGUUUUGACCAUAUCGAGUUACGACAACUUAAUCGGGUGCGACCCAAAGCCUCGGUUNGGUUAACGUCGUUAUCGGGUAGAAUUCCACCGUGUCUCAUUUCCAAACCAUAUUUAAAGUUGUUUAAGCCUCAUUUGAAGCCUUUUCAUUCUCUCUCUAACCUCUCUCUCAAAUCCAACUUGUUGAUCCAAAAUCUCUCAUCUCAAGCUUCAAAACACCAAGGUAACUAUCCUAGCUUCUAGUAUAACACAUUUAGCCUUCAAAUUUGAGUUUAAAUCAUGGAUUAGGACCAUUAUCAUGAGUUUACGGCCCUAGAACAGUCCUAGACCGUGAACUCAUAUAAAAGGGGUUUUUGAGCCAUAAAACCCUUCCAAACCUCAUUUGGAGCUUAGAUAUGACUUAGGGAAUUACCAAAUCGGACUUAGAACACCUUGAACUUAAUUUUUGAGGAGUAAACAUGAGUUUACUGCCCAAGAACAUGCUUGGGCCGUAAACUCAUUAUCUUGGAGAGUAAACUCAUUUUCAAGUGUUUAAAUGCCACUUAAACACACCAUUAGCCUUGGAAUAAAUCCUAGAACCAACCACAAUUGAAUUGGGGACCUUAAACAUGAUAAAAACCCUUCAUUUGAGAGUUUACGACCAUAACCCCCCAAGAAUAGGUUCCAGGGCCGUAAACUCCUAAACAUAAGUCAAAUGGUGCCCAAAAUUCAUCCUAAGGCUUGUAAAAUUUGUUUGAAUCACAUGUGAUUGUCCUAGUAUCACCAAAUUACAUAAGGAAUAUGUGUGGGGGAGUUUACGACCGUAAACUCCAAUAAAUGGUCCAUUUGUGAGUUAAAACCCUUUCCAAUGCAUUAGACUCAAACCAAGAUUUAAUCCCCAAGUGUUUCAAGGCCAUUUUGCACCAUAAACCUUCCAUCCAUGAGUUCACGGCCGUGAACUCAUGUGAAUAUGGUGUUUAGGGCCGAAAACUCUUAUAAGAGUUUACUCUUGAAGAUUAAACUCCAUUCCUAAGCCAUACAAGUCCUUAGAUGUCACCCGGGUCACUCCAAACACUUGAUUUGAAGUGUUUUCGCGUCUUGGAAUGUUUAAGUGUAUCUAAUUAGUGAUUUAAAAUUCUAGUUGGAUAUAUUUGUGUAUUAUUUAAUAUUACAUAGGAACCUCGCACAUAUUCAAGCCUCGAUUCGACCUUUAGCAUCCUAGUCGACACAUUCCGCGACCGGUGAGUUCAUACCCCUACCCUUUUUCAAUGGUUUUUCAAUGUUUUCAGAGGGGGGGGGGGGAAAAGCAAAAGAACAAGAAUAUCUUGUACUUGAAUUUAUUAUUUCAUUUGAAUGAUUUCAUAAUUCGUACACCUUUAAGAAUUGAAAACAUAUUAACAAACUGUUUUGACUUGCAGAGGAGUUGUUGAAACCGAUUUAAAUUCUUAUUAUAUAGUAUUAUACUACACAAUUGAUUGUUCACACUUUUAUAGUUGAAAUCAUAGAUCUUUUAUAUUGUCCUUAAUAAAACACCCCUAGAUGCGAGUGUGAAGGACAUGUAUCAUUAGAACUUUAGUUAGGUCCUUGAUAGUACUCCUCUUAGAUACGAGAGUAAAGGACUAAUAGAAAUAGAUUUUUCCGUAUUAAUAACUUUCAGUUUUAAAUUCAUUGAUCUUAAGAUUGGAGACACGUCCUUUGUAACACUUCCUUUAGAUACGAGAGUGGAGGACUAUCCCUGUAACCAGAAUCUUCGGAAAAGGGGAGAGCGUGACUUAAGUGUAUAGAUCUAUACGGGACUGACUAUCUUGCACCUGGCUGCUAGCUACAGCCGAACCGAAAGGUUCAAGGGUGACAAAAGUCAUAAAAAGAUACUGGCCCUAGUCCGAGUCAUAUCUAGUCUGUAGUAUGGUUAUGGAACUCGCAAUCAAGAUUAUGAACGUUUUGUACUUAUUUAUUUGUUUUAUAUAUGUGUUAAAAGUAAUGUACAUUUAAGGGUAAUCAGACUUUCAGGAGACUCCACACACACACUUUAAGUAUGGUAGAUACUUGUACAUAACUUUCAGAUUCGGUAACACUUCAACACAUUUAGGAAAAUAUGGGAUUUUCCUGGGAUAACAUUUGUACAUACCAAAAACGUGUAAUAACUCAGAUAACUAAACUUUACAAUUCAUAAGGGUAAACAUGUUUUUCAGUGUACAUCUUUUACAUUACAUUUUGGAUUUGGUAACCAACUGUUAAGAAAAUAUGGGAUUUUCUUGGAUAACCACUUUUCGGAAAACUAAAGGAAUCUUGUUCAUUUUCACAAAACAAACCGCUUAUGAACUCACCAGCUUUAUGCUAAUUUUUAAACUGCUUGUAUUCUAAGGUUUUCCUUAGACAGGUAUUCUCGCGUUCUUUUGCAGAAGACGAAGCGUAUGGAGUCACGUCCUUCUUUUGUUUAAACUUAUGUAUCUAUGAAACUUGUAUCACUUUACUUUUAAUUAGGUGUAAUGAAAACUAUGUAAUGUAAUGUUUUGUGUUUACUUCGCUUACUAUGUACAUUGGUUGCGAUAUUCAUGAUGUCCUCCGCCCCGGAACGUUUCCGCCCUGGGUUUCGGGGUGUGACAACAAGCAUAUAGAUAUCAUUAAGUUUUGACUUCAAUGGGAAGUUAAACACCCAUUAUGACAAUCGAAUAUUGAAACUUGGUCAAUAUGAUUGUUUAGAUUACCAUUAAGAAGCAGAUAACAUUAUUUAAAAAGAAUCAAAUGUAAAAAAAAAAAAUCGUGUUUAUGAGUUUGAAAAUCUAAAAGGAAUUGAUGAAGCGAUUUUCAAGGAAUGAAUAAUUUUCCCAAUGUACAUGGAAUUCUGUUAAUCAUUCUGGACUUUACUUUAAAAGGAGUCUACUAUCCUAAUUGAUAUAGAAAAAAAAGUAAUUGACAUAGAAAAAAAUAAUCAAACCUGCUAACGAAAUAAACAAAUGAUUAUGAUGUUAUGUAUGAUUAAUAAGAUGAAAUUGUCCGAAAAUAUGUGAAACUAACUUGUAAGAACGUGCAUGCAUAGUUACCUACCUACAGGAAGACAAGAAGACUUGAAGUAGCGAUGAUAAAGGAUGAACCAACAGUGACGAAGCUGAGAAAUAUGACGACUGAAAUCUACAGAGCGAAAGAAGGUAAGUCAGAACGGAAACGGCGAGUGAAUGAAAGGAAGGAUGUGAGAGAGAGAUAGAGAGAAAGUCAACGAGUUAUGUGGGUUUUCCGUUUUCUUUUGCUUUACGAUUGAAUGGCUUCAGGGGUGUGCUUUUCCCUUUAAUCUUUCAAGUAAACAUAUAUUAGGCAAAUUCCAAGAAAAUACAGAUAUUUUAUCGUAAGGUUCAUAUAUUGUUUUUGGAUAAAAAAUCGAUUGAAAAAGUCUUCAACCUGUCCGGCAAAAAAAAGUCGGUCAAUGUGAGCAGACACCAAGUUGGACGACAUUACAGAACCGUGUGAUUGAAAAAUGUAAAAAGUAUUAGACAAAAUGUAAAAACAGCUUUGUUUUUUACAUUUUUUUUUGGGUUUUCAUCCUUGUUUCAAAAUUUUAAAUCUCAUUAUAUAUAAUCAUUUUCUAUAAUCAUAUCAUCAUAUAUAUAUAUAUAUAUAUAUAUGUUUAAAUUAUCCAANNNNNNNNNNNNNNNNNNNNNNNNNNNNNNNNNNNNNNNNNNNNNNNNNNNNNNNNNNNNNNNNNNNNNNNNNNNNNNNNNNNNNNNNNNNNNNNNNNNNNNNNNNNNNNNNNNNNNNNNNNNNNNNNNNNNNNNNNNNNNNNNNNNNNNNNNNNNNNNNNNNNNNNNNNNNNNNNNNNNNNNNNNNNNNNNNNNNNNNNNNNNNNNNNNNNNNNNNNNNNNNNNNNNNNNNNNNNNNNNNNNNNNNNNNNNNNNNNNNNNNNNNNNNNNNNNNNNNNNNNNNNNNNNNNNNNNNNNNNNNNNNNNNNNNNNNNNNNNNNNNNNNNNNNNNNNNNNNNNNNNNNNNNNNNNNNNNNNNNNNNNNNNNNNNNNNNNNNNNNNNNNNNNNNNNNNNNNNNNNNNNNNNNNNNNNNNNNNNNNNNNNNNNNNNNNNNNNNNNNNNNNNNNNNNNNNNNNNNNNNNNNNNNNNNNNNNNNNNNNNNNNNNNNNNNNNNNNNNNNNNNNNNNNNNNNNNNNNNNNNNNNNNNNNNNNNNNNNNNNNNNNNNNNNNNNNNNNNNNNNNNNNNNNNNNNNNNNNNNNNNNNNNNNNNNNNNNNNNNNNNNNNNNNNNNNNNNNNNNNNNNNNNNNNNNNNNNNNNNNNNNNNNNNNNNNNNNNNNNNNNNNNNNNNNNNNNNNNNNNNNNNNNNNNNNNNNNNNNNNNNNNNNNNNNNNNNNNNNNNNNNNNNNNNNNNNNNNNNNNNNNNNNNNNNNNNNNNNNNNNNNNNNNNNNNNNNNNNNNNNNNNNNNNNNNNNNNNNNNNNNNNNNNNNNNNNNNNNNNNNNNNNNNNNNNNNNNNNNNNNNNNNNNNNNNNNNNNNNNNNNNNNNNNNNNNNNNNNNNNNNNNNNNNNNNNNNNNNNNNNNNNNNNNNNNNNNNNNNNNNNNNNNNNNNNNNNNNNNNNNNUAAUUUUUAAUAUAUAUAUAUAUAUAUAUAUAUAUAUAUAUAUAUAUAUAUAUACACACUAAAAAAAAAAGGGGGAGAAAUAAGAACAAUUGAAAAAAUUUGAUGAAAUACUAUAUUUAUUUAACACAUUAAUCUUAAUAUAAUAGUAUGUAAUGGGCACAUAAAAGGAAAUUGCGAGGCAUCAAUUAGUGAAAGAGAUUAGAUGAACGGGAGGCAUUUUGGGCUGUAAGCCCUAUAAGAGAUCUCUAAUGAGUUUUCUAAAUCUAAUCAUUAAAAAAUGAAAAUGUAAGCCCAGAAGUCGCUCCACCACAUGCCUCCUCCUUCGUUGUUCACGUACAAUGCUCCGGCUGCGGCAAUAAAUCGACCACCGUUAUUAUGUGGUUUAGCGGAAAAAAACAUGAUCUCUCGGUUGUUUAGAGACUUGAAAUCAGAAUCAGACAAGAGUGGAUACAAGAUUAGGUCAGUGGAGAGUCUAGAAUCAACAUCUGAACGGCAAAUCACAUGACCGGUUAACUGAUAUGCUUGUCUUUGUAAGUUCUCGCAACUGGUAGCAUUAUUUGGCAUCUGUUAUUCGAAAUCCAACUCCUUUUCGUGUGCUCAAAAACAAAACGACCCAAUUUUUGUUUAGAAAUCAAUAGGAUCGCCAUAGUGCAAAUAGAAGUAAUUAGUAUAGACUGGUUCCGUCAAUCAUGGGUUUAUAUGUCUUUUGGCGCAUCUGAUUGGAUUUUGUAAUUCUAAUGGACGAGCUUGUUAGGGAGGAGGGAGUCCUUUCCACUGAACCCACUUAACCCAUUGUCACAUCAGUUUUUUUCUUUGAUUUUUCUUCAUCUUUUCGAACCCACAACACACGGAAAUCCUAUUUUUUUUAACCCACUCAAUUAAAAAAAAUAUACAAAAUAAUCAAGGUAAAAUCUUAAUUAACAAUAGAGUUACCGUCAGUACCACUUCCUCUUCGACGGGUUGUUUAAUUGGUUUCACGAACCCACUUCAUCAUCUCUCUCUACUUUCUCUUUCUCAUUUUCUCUUGUACCAUAUAUUUUAAGACUUGUACCUUAGUUGUUUAGUGUUUUUUUUAAUUGAGUGGGUUGAGUGGAUUGAAAAAGAUAGGAUUUCUGUGUGUUGUGGGUUCGGAAAGAUGAAGAAAAAUCAAAGAGAAAAGCUGAUGUGGCAGUGAGUUCAGUGGGUUCGGUGGGUUCAAUGGGAACGACUCCCUCCUCCCUUAGGGUUCAAAGGAUGUAUGACAUUGCUUAGGAAAAAGAAAAGUUGAAUCUCAUGUAACAUGUUUGGAUAAGGAUAUUGUAUUCUGUUUUAUAAUGAAUUUUCUACAGAAACCGAUUACAUGAGAGGACUUUGAUCAAAAAGCAAAGUCAUGGGUUUGUUCAGUUAAGGUAUUGACCACAAAGUAAGAAGACCUCUACAAUAAUUUUACUUUCAGAAAAAGACAACUCAUGAAGAUUAUUUGUAUCUUUUUCAAUUUUGGUUCUCAAGAAUGAAAAAUAAAAAAUACUAUUAUCCAAAAUAUACAUGAGACCUAUCCUAAAAACUAAAAGUGCAUGAAAACUCUAUGCAAAUUAAGCUGGAAAAGUGACGACACAUAUAUAUGCUGGAAAGGGGCAACACAUGUACAGCUUGUUUUUAUAUUCUAACAUUUACUAAGUUCCAUUUAUACAUGAAAAUCAUAAUAUGGAACUUUCUAACGGAUGAUAAGUGAUAGGAAAUCCAAGUGGUCUACUAGAAAGCUAAAAUUGAGUAAUUAUACAAAAGAACAGUAAGGAAAUGGACAAAGUUGUGGCUACAGAAUUGACUUUCUCAGUUAUAUCACUUAGAACUUCAACUUAUUGAAUUAAGUAGCAGCAAAAUAUUCAACUGUGAGAAUCAUGGCAACUCAGCAAUCACAUUUUAGUCUUUUCUCUCAAUCACAUGAACCAAAUCAACAAAAUAUAUGAAGUAAUUUAAAACAACGUUAUGACUUACAUCAUAUUCUCAUAUUCCUUAUAUGUGUAUUAAUUAACUCAAAAACCAUUCAUAUUGUCUUCCACUGUUUUUGGCAAUAUAAGAUACAACUAUUAAAACAAAAACCGCAAAGAUAAAUCGUUACUAGAGAUGACAAGAAGCAAACCAUCUUUAAUUAUUCUGGAAAAAUAAGGAUAUUACUCAUUAGUUUCACGUGAUUGAGUGAGUUACAGUAGCUUUUGGUAACCCAUCUGUUUUGAAUUUUCAUGUCAAGGACGAGACCCUGAAGAUUCCUCCUUACCCUACGAAUAAAGGAAAAGUAAGAAAAAUAUAAAAUCUCACCAAGACUCCUUAAAAACAAGUAAUAUGCUAAUGUUUCCAUGUGUUCUUAGUCUUAUUAAUAAGGCAUCUAUUAAUAAGACUCCUUAAAUAUGAAUCAGCCAAAUAACUCUGAGAACUCGACCCUAGCUAGUGACUUUCACACAUGAUGGUAAUACAAAUACAACACGAUUUUUUUAAGUUUGUUUGUACAUAUAUGUGAAUCGCCUAAAUAAAUGUGGGACAUGUUUAAGAAUAGAAUCGAAGGACCAGACCAUGUCCUUAAAAAUACAAGACUACCAGGCCUAAACGAAUACAACAAUUUUAAAGGAUCAGCUACAGAGUCAAUAACUGAAACCUUUGACUUGUAUACAGGAGAAGUAGCAUAACACAAAAAGCUGAUUCUUCAAAGUCCAAUACAAUGUGGUGGGGACCAUUGCCAUUGGUUAGAGGGAAUUCAAUGAUGCAAUGCAAAAAAAGUGGUGAAGCAUGGAUCAUAUUAUUUCUAGAAAUAUCAAGAAGCCGAGAUGAAUGAGAAAGCGUACAUGGGAGAAAUGUGGUGGAGAAUUAUCAACUGAAGUGGAGAUUUGGUCAUCAUCUAAUGAGGAGGAGGACUCUAAUAAACAAGCCUACAUCUUCCUUAGGGUCGCUAAUCCGAUAUCAACAAACUCAUCAAAAGGAUCAAGUAUUUUAUUUUUCCAACUCUAAUAUUUCUAUUAUUGAAUUCAAAAAGCAUUUUGCAAAUGUCGACUCUAAACAUAUGUAGAGAAAUCGAUUCAAAUUCAAAAAGUGGAGGAAAAUGAUAUGUAGGUAAAUGAAUUGGUGGAAGUUCAAAAUGAGGAGGAGGUCCUUAAGGCAAAGACCAAGACUGUAGUAAAGAAGUACAAUAGAGGCAUUGUAUGAGAUUGAGGGUAGAGAUAACUAAAUUAAAUAAAAACCAAAAGAUCUUGAUAACAACCAAAAACACCGAAUUUAGAGCCCUAAUUGAAGGAACUAGGAAUAGUUUAGGAGUAGUGUAGAUUUGCUGUUCCAAAAAAAAUGAAGGAAUUAGGUAUCCGUAAUUUGUUGGCUCCCAUUCUAAGAUUAAGUAGUUAGAGAAAACAAUACAAAGUUCAUGCCCCAUCGUAUCUGCCCGAACUAUGUUUUGACGUUGUCUUUCUCAAGCAAGCAUCCAUUGCAAGGUUAUAACUCUGUUACAUCCUAAACCAAUCAAAGGUAUGAUAUAUAGCAUACUUGGAUCUGUAUGCCCUUUAUUCAUGUGAUGAGAGAAAGGUUUGGGUGUCAAAAUGUAUACCUCACAUGCACGACCAAGUAUGUCAAGCUUCCUCGGGGAUAAAGCUCUAAACCAACACUUUUCCUUUUGUGCUGAAAACAGAUAAACAGUUAUUUUAAUUAUUAUUCACAAGCAUCUGAUAUAUGUAUGUGGUCCAACAUAUCAAGACUUAAAGAGUUACAUAUACCCAUUGAGACGGAUUACUACUUGGGUAGAUUCAUUUAGGAGUUAGUAGUAGAAAUUUUGUUUUUCAUAUUUUAUAAAAACUAACUCUAAUAGUACAUGUCAAUAAAAUCAAUGAUAAAUGGGUGGAUUGAUUUGGGUUAUAUGAAACAUUUAUUUCUUUACUAAAAUUAAAUGUGUAUUAUCCAUCUUGCUUUGGAUCAUAGGUCAGAUCAUUAAAUAAAUGACAUCUACCUUGAAAGUCGGGGUCGUCCUGAACGAAUUUACGAUGAUAUGGCCACAAUCUAAUGCCAGAAUCAUAAAAUCGCCUGUUGCAUAGGAUGUAUUGUCCUGUUGUUGUUUGAAAAGGAGAGAGAUCUCCACCAAUUAUGUGAUUCCAUGACUUGUAAUAACCUAACACUUCUUCUUCUUCAUCCUUCUUCUCUCCAUUUUCAUACACAAAACUCACCCCACACUCCUUUAUAACCUCAUCCUUCAUUAGAAGUUCAUGUCGUUGCGGUGUAACAGUGAUAGUAAUGUGGUCACCAACCUCCAUCUCAUUCUUCCCAAACAUCCAGUGACUUAAUAUUACCCAACAAUUCAGAGUUUCACUAAAUCUGUCCACAUAACGUUCAUAUAUCCACGUACGUUUUUUUGUUAUAUUACUAAUUGUCAUCAUUGGCGUCCAAGGCAAAAGAUCAUCAUCUGAUAAAUCCAACUCCUCAUCAAGAAGGUUUAAUGUGUGCAGAGAGCAGAAGUUGAGCCCUGUAAGGAGGUUGUUUGGAGAUGAUGAUGAUGAUGAUGAUGAUGAUGAUGAUGGGAUGGUAAAUGAUAUUAUUGGCCCCAAGCUUCUAUGCCUAAUCCAACCCGGCAUCUCCUCAGCCUCAUACAACAUGCUAAAUAUUCCAAAUUCAUAAAACAUCAUCUGCCAAAUACAAACCACCAUAAUAAUUACAUUAUAUGUCUUCACAUAAACAUAUAUAGAAGUUAAGUUAACUAGACAAAACCUGGAUUUCAGAUUCUGAAGAAUUAGUUCCCACACGCCUUUCGUUGAGGAAGUCUAAAUUAAUCCAGCCCAAACUACGUAAUACCUUUUCUUCAACAAUCAUCAUUGUUUGGAUUUUGAUCACACCUUCAAUUCCGUAAUCCUUCAACCCAAGUGAAGAUGUCCAGUCUAACGGGUCUAUUGAUAACUGGAGUGGGGACAUUUCUGGAUCAAAUACAACUUUCUCUAUAGGAUACCCAUAAGCAACGUCAAGAAACAACUGUUUUAGUGUACGUGGAGGAUACUCGACUGACUUCAAAUUUUUACACAUCUCCAUACUAAGUAUCUCAAGUCUAGGAAGGGUUCUCACACAACUAGGCAUGGAAUUGAUAGGAUUGUCAUCUAAAUAUAAUUCCUUUAACAUGGAUAGGCAACUAAAGUCCACGGGAAAGGAGUCAUGAGAUAUAUUAUUAUUUGCAAGUGACAACCUUACUAAAGACUUCGGUAAAGACAUUGCAGAGGACUUCAAAUCACGUGGUAUAGAACCCACAAAGGCUGUGUUGAUGCCAAUGUUUGUAACCGUGCACAUUUCCACUGAAUCCACAUCCAUAUUCUUGAUUCGAGAUUCAACAAGAUUACAACCAUCUAGCAACAUUGUUUUAACCUUCUCUAAAAUGUCUAUAUUUCUUGGAAGUUUUUCAAGCUUCGUGCAGUAACUCAGAUCGAUGAAGAUAAGCUCAACACAUUGCCCAAUUGAUUCACAAACAUCAACCAAACCAAUGCAGUUCCUAAGUAUUAACCUCUCAAGUGCAGGGAGUUGGUCAAAGUCACCAACACUAUGAAGUUGUUUGCAAAAACUUAAAAUAAGAAUCUUCAGUGAACCAAACAACCUUUUCUCUUUUAAGCACGAUCCAUCCACCUACAGAAAUGGAAAUAAGUUAGUAUAGUAUUGAAUUUCAUCAACUCACAUACAUGAAUAAUAAAUGAAGACAACUUUACCCUUUGCCUCUUCUCAAGUCGUUGUGGAUUACUAUAACAACCGACAAAUGAUUCAAUAUUGCUAUAUGACAUAUCAAGAGCAACAAGAUUCUCUAUAGGUAAGUUUAAAGGUAUAGACUUUGAAUGAAACCCAUGCAUACAUAACCAUCUUAUUUCUUCUGGAAAGUUCUCAUAAGACCCAUGCAUUUGCACAUAAUUGAGUUGUAGUAUCAUAAGAUUAUCCAUGUUACUCAAGGCAUCCGUCUUCAGCUCAAAUGAUCCUCUCAACUUCUCUUUCUCAAGCAUGUGCAUGUCAAGGGAAAGGCCUAGAAGAUUUCCCUUACCCUAAGAAGAAACAGAAUGCAAACAAACAAAUUAGGCAAUGCAAAUGUUUUCUUGGACAUGCACACUACUAAAAGCAUACAUGGCCUCAUACCUUUUUUUGUUUCAACACCUUGAAUGACUCCUUAUGACACCAUAAUCGACUUCGCUUCCAUGGCUUAUCAGGUGAUUCUUGAUGUACUUCGAAUCUUCCCAUCUCUUGAACCAACUGAUGCAUCUUCAAUUCAUUAUUCGAUCCAAUACUAAGAAGACAUCUAUCAAUGAGAUUCGUGAUUCCGGAUCUUGUGUUUAUAUCACAUGCCUCUAAUAUUGUUUCGCUAACAUCUCUAUACAUUCCAACAAAAAAACAAGCAAUAUGCUUAAACAAUUCCUUAUCAUUUUUGGAUGGCAAAGAGCUGAAGCUCAUUUUUAUGACAUUAUUUACAGGGGAGCUAAUUUCUUUCUUUAGCCCUUCCAUGUACCCUUCCCAGUACGUCACAUCUCGAUUAUGCAGAGACUUACCCAAAACUUCAAGAGCCAAUGGAUGUCCUUGACAAUAAUCCACAAGCUUAUCUGAAACCUCUUCAUAACCUUCCUUGGGAUGGUCACACAUGAAUGCAUGGGAACACAAAAGUUGUUGUGAUUCAAUCUUAUCUAAGCCUUCAAGGAAGUGUUUUACAUGCUUGGGUUUAAUGUUUGUUUUGAAUAGUGCACAACUCUCUGUCAACCAUCUGUCCUUUGUCGUUAUUAUAACUUUGCUUCCUGAAUGAAAACCUUUGCUUCCAAGUAAUGCGUCCAACUGAUCAAUACUAUUGAUAUCAUCAAGAACAAGAAACACCCUUUUACGAGCUACUACAUUCUCUAUCAUUGAUGUGUAUUUUGAAACAUCAUAAACUUGAACUGGACUUGUUUUUGAAAUGUCACCGCAAAGUUGUUUUUGUAUAUCAAGCAGCCCAUUAUACUUUCCAUCACAUCUCCUACCAAUAUCUUCAAUAAAGCUGCUUGUUUGGAACUCAUGACAAUAUAACCCAAAGACAUGUUUGGCUAAAGAUGUCUUCCCGAUCCCGCCUAUACCCGAAAUAGUGAGUAUGUCUGACGUAAGUGAGGAUACAUCUGUCAACCAUGAAGUGAUGAAGUUAAUGGAAGACUUCAUCCCAAUAAGUAGUGGCUGAAAACUCUGUAAUAAGGGUACACGUAAUCUACGGUAGAUGUCCUUCACAAUUUCUUCAAUAAACUCUGUCUCAAACCUGAAACUUAAUGUAGUAAGAAUUACAAAAUACAAUCCACAAAACUAACAAACCUGAUUUGGAGAUUUCUUUUAUAUAAAGAUCCAAGUCAAUAUUAUAUAACAAGUGUUAGUGUUAGAUAUAUGUAGAAUAGGAUUUAUUUGCUUUUAGGUUACUUUAUUUGUAUUUUCAUGUUUUAGGUACACUAGUUGAUUUAUAAAUGAGGGUUUAACUUGUUUAUCAAUGACAACAUAAUAUUCCAGAAAUCUAUUCCUUCACAGCAACUAUUAGUUUAAAACUUCUAAUUAAGUUCUUCGCAUCAAAACAUAUUGUCUUCAUUCUAACCAUAUACAUAUCUAAUGUGUAAGCCCAUAAAUAUUUAUGUAUAAUAAGACCAAAACUACCAAUGUAAUACAAGUUUUCAUAAUGGGCCUUGUAACUUCACUGUGUUUUUACAAGAACAUCAAACUUAACUAUCAAUGAUGUGAGUUUUAAAAAAAUGCCUGUCAAACUUAACUAUCAAUGUGGUAAGUUUGAAAAAAAAAGGCCAGUAGAUUAUCCUUUACUACUUACAACAGAAGUUAUUUAUCAUAAAAGACGCUAUGAUUUGAAGGUAGUAUGGUAUAACUAAUAGUAGAUGUAUAGAAACCUACUCAAAAUUUGUUUUUUAAUAAAAGGGUUGACUAUUUAUUUAUGCAACAACACUUCGCCUUCUUCCCAAUUUAUGCAACAAUGUUAAAUUUAUAUAAAAUAUAAGACAUUUCGUCCUUUUCCCGAUUUUAUGCAACAAUGUUAUAUUUAUACAAAAUAUGCAUCUUAGUUAUCCUACUGUAUCAAACGUAUGUCUGUUUGAUGAUAUUAAAAAAAUACCGAAAUGCAUAGGGUGAAGAUGAUAUUGACAUUUUUCAUAUGGGUGAAUAUGUGGUUACCUUCCAUUGAUGUCAUUUCCUUUUAAAUUAGCAACUUGGAUAAGUGCUUUAUUCCAUCUCUCUAUCUUUUGACCCCAUUGACUUCUUUUAUUUUCAUCCGUCUCUUCAUCCAUUUUCUGUUUAUGUUUAGUCAUUGCCUCUCCAAAGCUACUUUGUUGCUUCCUGACAUGGGUGGGCUCCACAUGAUAAAAUAUGGGGAUGACAAUGUGGUUGGAUGUGAUACGCUGCUCAAGGAUCAACACCAGUUCAUCCAGACACCAUGUUGAAGAAGCGUAGUUCUUAGACAACACAAUAAUAGAAGCCCGAGAUGCCUUAAUUGCACUCUCUAAUUCAGGUUUAAGAUCUUCCCCUGUUUCAAUCUCUUCAUCAUCCAAGAAGGUAUUGAUAUUGGCAUCUAUAAGAGCCUCAUACAGAUAAUUAGUAAAACUAAGACGGGUGUCAACACCUCUAAAACUUAAAAAUACAUCAUAUCUAUAACCAUCGGUUGAUGAACUAGGACCACAAGUUGAUGGACUAUGGCCAUGAGUUGAUGAAGAUGCUUCUGGAAGUUCAGAUAGAACAACCAUUAUGAGUUGUGUGUUGAUGACUCUUCACCCUUCCCACCUUUUUGAGUAUUUGUUUAAAGGUUCUUCUUAAAUGCAGGUGUACCUAAGUAAGCUCUGAAACUCUACAGGUUAUCAAUAAUGUAAGUUGGUUUCACUAGUUUCCCUCACUUGUGCUUCAAUGUCAAGAUGUAGUAAAUAAUGCCUCUACAUAAAAUCCAAAUUAUUAGUAUUUAAAAUAUGCAACUU
rnacentral:lncRNA from 1 species